rnacentral:rRNA from 1 species
GAAUAUUGGACAAUGGGGGCAACCCUGAUCCAGCCAUGCCGCGUGUGUGAAGAAGGCCUUCGGGUUGUAAAGCACUUUAAGUUGGGAGGAAGGCUUCAAACCUAAUACGUUUGAGGAUUGACGUUACCAACAGAAUAAGCACCGGCUAACUCCGUGCCAGCAGCCGCGGUAAUACGGAGGGUGCAAGCGUUAAUCGGAAUUACUGGGCGUAAAGCGCGCGUAGGCGGCUGAUUAAGUCGGGUGUGAAAGCCCCGGGCUCAACCUGGGAACUGCACUCGAUACUGGUCGGCUGGAGUAUGAGAGAGGGAGGUAGAAUUCCACGUGUAGCGGUGAAAUGCGUAGAUAUGUGGAGGAAUACCGGUGGCGAAGGCGGCCUCCUGGCUUAAUACUGACGCUGAGGUGCGAAAGCGUGGGGAGCAAACAGG